ensembl:lncRNA
AUCAAACUCAGCUGUGGCUCAGAGGAAACUCUUCCUCACUACGGGGAACUCUGAGUCAUGGGGCUCUGUGCAGGACGGCGCCUCGUGUCCACACGUCCAGUCCUUCCUGUCCUCGGUGGAUCAGGUUGUCAGUAAUCUGAGCUCAGCCAGACUGAACAUGGAGAGAAAGUUCCAGCUGCAGCACAUCGAGCUUCCUGACGCCAUCAGCCAGCUGAGCAGCCCUGCAGACUACAGAGCAGCAGGUAUGAAGCUCAAGCUGUUCACAUCUCACACAAACAAUAAGACUGUUGGAAAUACAGGAAACAUCAUUUAAAAGGUUUAAAAAUCAACUCUCAGGUAAAUCAAACCAGUUUAUCUGUGGAGGCUGAAGGAAGCAUCUGACCUGAGACGAUGGCUUCUUUGAAAUAAUGAGUCCGUGUUCACGUGUGUUUAGAGAAACUCGUGUGUUUCGCUCUCAGCCAAUAACAGUGAGCUGGUGGAGCGUCUUGAGGAGGUGUUGACCC